CAGGACGAACGCUGGCGGCGUAGCUUAACACAUGCAAGUCGAACGAAGCUCCCAGAAUUGAGUUUCGGACAAAAGGAAGGGAAGACUGAGUGGUGGACUGGUGAGUAACGCGUGAGUAACCUGCCCUUCGGUGGGGGACGAACAGUUGGAAACGACUGCUAAUACCGCAUAAUGUAGAUUUUCCGCAUGGGAGAUCUACCAAAGAGUUUAUUGCCGAAGGAUGGACUCGCGUCUGAUUAGAUAGUUGGUGAGGUAACGGCUCACCAAGUCGACGAUCAGUAGCCGGACUGAGAGGUUGACCGGCCACAUUGGGACUGAGAUACGGCCCAGACUCCUACGGGAGGCAGCAGUGGGGAAUAUUGGGCAAUGGACGAAAGUUCCUGACCCAGCAACGCCGCGUGAAGGAAGAAGGCCCUCGGGUUGUAAACUUCUUUUAUCAGGGACGAUAAUGACGGUACCUGAUGAAUAAGCCACGGCUAACUACGUGCCAGCAGCUGC
rnacentral:rRNA from 1 species